rnacentral:misc_RNA from 1 species
GUGAGUCAUCGAAUCUUUGAACGCACCUUGCACCUCGUGGCUUACCACGGGGUACGCCCGUUCGAGCGUCACGUUCACAUCGCCUCUGGCGGAACUGGAUGUUGCCGUAGUGGCUCGUCUGAAAUGCAUUAGCGAGGGUGGCCUUGCGCCGGUGUGAUAAUUCUCGCCCAAGCAAGUAAGCCCUGCUCCGAAUCCCGUCGCGUCGACGGAACUUCUAAGUUUGACCUCGAAUCGGGCGGGACUACCCGCUGAACUUAAGCAUAUCAAUAAGCGGAGGA